CCCGGAAGUGUCGUGCCUCACAGUCUGUGCCAGACCCAGGAAGCGAGAGGGUCUCGGCUCUUUCAGCUGUGAAUAACACUGAACGCACGUCUACUCCAUGGUGAGUCCCCUUGAUGUGGCUGCUGCCCAAUUGUUAGCCUCGCCUUUU